GGCGAUGUAGCUCAGCGGUAGAGCACCGGGCUCGAGGUCCGGAGGUCGCGGGUUCGAGUCCCGUCGUCGCGC
rnacentral:tRNA from 1 species